GACGAACGCGGCGGCGUGCCUAAUACAUGCAAGUAGAACGCUGAAGGAGGAGCUUGCUUCUCUGGAUGAGUUGCGAACGGGUGAGUAACGCGUAGGUAACCUGCCUGGUAGCGGGGGAUAACUAUUGGAAACGAUAGCUAAUACCGCAUAAGAGUAGAUGUUGCAUGACAUUUACUUAAAAGGUGCAAUUGCAUCACUACCAGAUGGACCUGCGUUGUAUUAGCUAGUUGGUGGGGUAACGGCUCACCAAGGCGACGAUACAUAGCCGACCUGAGAGGGUGAUCGGCCACACUGGGACUGAGACACGGCCCAGACUCCUACGGGAGGCAGCAGUAGGGAAUCUUCGGCAAUGGACGGAAGUCUGACCGAGCAACGCCGCGUGAGUGAAGAAGGUUUUCGGAUCGUAAAGCUCUGUUGUAAGAGAAGAAACGAAGUGUGAGAAGUGGAAAAGUUCAC
rnacentral:rRNA from 1 species